rnacentral:rRNA from 1 species
CAGGGAUUGCCUAGUAACGGCGAGUGAAGCGGCAACAGCUCAAAUUUCGAAAUCUUGGCCUCACGGUCCGAAUUGUAAUUUGUAGAGGAUGUUUCUGGCGACGUGUCUUCCGAGUUCCCUGGAACGGGACGCCAUAGAGGGUGAGAGCCCCGUCCGGUCGUACACCUAGCCUCUGUGAAACUCCUUCGACGAGUCGAGUAGUUUGGGAAUGCUGCUCUAAAUGGGAGGUAUACGUCUUCUAAAGCUAAAUACCGGCCAGAGACCGAUAGCGCACAAGUAGAGUGAUCGAAAGAUGAAAAGCACUUUGAAAAGAGGGUUAAAUAGUACGUGAAAUUGCUGAAAGGGAAGCGCUUAUGACCAGACUUGGGCUCGGUGAAUCAUCCGGCGUUCUCGCCGGUGCACUUUGCCGUCCCAGGCCAGCAUCAGUUCGCGCCGGGGGAUAAAGGUUUCGGGAAUGUAGCUCCUUCGGGAGUGUUAUAGCCCGUUGCGUAAUACCCUGGCGUGGACUGAGGUCCGCGCUCUGCAAGGAUGCUGGCGUAAUGGUCAUCAGUGACCCGUCUUGAAACACGGACCAAGGAGUCGUCUUCGUAUGCGAGUGUUCGGGUGUCAAACCCCUACGCGUAAUGAAAGUGAACGUAGGAGAGAGCUUCGGCGCAUCUCCGACCGAUCCUGAUGUUCUCGGAUGGAUUUGAGUAAGAGCAUACGGGGCCGGACCCGAAAGAAGGUGAACUAUGCCUGUAUAGGGUGAAGCCAGAGGAAACUCUGGUGGAGGCUCGCAGCGGUUCUGACGUGCAAAUCGAUCGUCAAAUAUGGGCAUGGGGGCGAAAGACU